rnacentral:rRNA from 1 species
AAAGCAAGUCAGUGGUGAAAGCCCUGGGCUUAACUCAGGGAUUGCCAUUGAAACUGGUUNUACUAGAGUGUAGUAGAGGACGGCGGAAUGAGUUGUGUACCGGUGAAAUGCAUAGAUAUAACUCAGAACACCUAUUGCGUAGGCAGCUGUCUAUACUACAACUGACGCUGAGGCACGAAAGCGUGGGGAGCGAACAGGAUUAGAUACCCUGGUAGUCCACGCUGUAAACGAUGAUCACUCGUUGUUGGCUACUUAGUAGUCAGUGACCAAGGGAAACCGAUAAGUGAUCCACCUGGGGAGUACGUCGGCAACGAUGAAACUCAAAGGAAUUGACGGGGGCCCGCACAAGCGGAGGAACAUGUGGUUUAAUUCGAUGAUACGCGAGGAACCUUACCUGGGCUUAAAUGCUGGCUGCAUUGGAGGGAAACCUUCAUUUCCUACGGGACCGCCAGCAAGGUGCUGCAUGGUUGUCGUCAGCUCGUGCCGUGAGGUGUCGGGUUAAGUCCCAUAACGAGCGCAACCCCUAUCGCUAGUUGCCAGCAUGUAAUGGUGGGGACUCUAGCGAGACUGCCGGUGUAAACCGGAGGAAGGUGGGGAUGACGUCAAAUCAGCACGGCCCUUACGUCCAGGGCUACACACGUGUUACAAUGGCCGGUACAAAGAGCAGCCACCUGGCGACAGGGCGCUAAUCUCUAAAACCGGUCUCAGUUCGGAUCGAAGUCUGCAAUUCGACUUCGUGAAGGUGGAUUCGCUAGUAAUCGCGCAUCAGCCAUGGCGCGGUGAAUAAGUUCCCGGGCCUUGUACACACCGCCCGUCAAGCCAUGGAAGUCGGGGGUACCUGAAGUCCGUAACCG